rnacentral:rRNA from 1 species
CGUUCUCUGAAAAAUUCGUAAUUGUAUUAGUUUAUGGUAGAAACUUAUAUAGAGAAUCGGACCUGCCCGGUGACUAAGUGUUAAACGGCCGCGGUACUCUGACCGUGCAAAGGUAGCAUAAUCACUUGCCUUUUAAUUGGAGGCUUGUAUGAAUGGUUUGACGAAAGCUAAGCUGUCUUUUUUUAAAUAUAAAGAAAUUAAUUCACAGAUGAAGAAGUCUGUAUUUAACUGAGGGACAAGAAGACCCCGUUGAGCUUUAGUGAUUUAGCAAAAUUACUGACCGGAGCUAUCAUGCUUAGAUUGCUUAAUUAAAUUGCAUUAGAUAAUGUAGAUAUUUUUUGUUAAUAAAUCUUUAGUUGGGGCGACUGAGGAACGAGAUAAGCUUCCUUUAAAAUUUACAGUGGACUUCGUUCUAAACAAUUGGAUCCAGUAUUUACUGAUCAAAGGAAAAAGUUACCACGGGGAUAACAGCGUAAUCUUUCUAGCGAGUUCUUAUCGAAGGAAGGGUUUGCGACCUCGAUGUUGGACUAAGAUAUCCUAAGGGUGUAGAAGCUCAUAAUGGUUAGUCUGUUCGACUAUUAAAAUCUU